ensembl:lncRNA LINC00924 long intergenic non-protein coding RNA 924
GGAAUCUCCCAGUUCCUGAGAGCCUCCCAGGCUUUCUCCCUCGAUGUUUGGAGUUUUAUGCCUAUGUAAUCAGUGCAGACAGCCGUUAAGUAAAUGAAGAGGCAACUAACAAUGUCAGAAAAGAGACCGGGCGGUUCCGGCUGACACUACCCUAAUCUUCCAGGACCCAUUAAAUGAGCCUGGCCAAAAUGGAAAACUGCAAGGUUCAAAUCCUGGAGUGCAGAAGAAGCAUUAGGCAUUGACCCUGUGGCUUCCUAAUAGAUCCGCAAAGUGCUUUGUUCCUGGAAAUCAUCCGAUGAGUAGUUCAGUGCUAUUGUAUAUCUUGUUAGAGCAGCCGAAGUGCCACAAAAUGAACUAAAAUCUCCCUGCAGAGUUGCUGUAUCAUAUGCUGAGAACAUUCGGAACUUUCAACAAAUUCAUGUUACGAUCCUGGGUAGCCAUGGUUAAAUCUGUACAGGGGUUAAAUGAGAAAUAUGAGCCUGCUGUUAAGUGUCUUCUGAGAGUGACAAAGCUCUGGCCAUAAGGGAUGGGAGAGGAGGGAUUUCUUCUCAGCCUUCCAGCCCUUUCCAGCUGUAUCACAGACAGGAGACAUAAUGCAAAGGGGCUCAGACAUUGACUUCCUGGAUCUUUGCGGCCCCAGGCAUUGACCCCCUCUACCUGGCUUUUCCUACGCUGUAAAAUGAGGAUCCUCCUAUAUUAUGGAGUUUAUUGUGACAACUAAAUAGCUGAGAAGAAGGACAUCUCAUUUGUUUUAACUAUGCAGUUUCCUGUCUAUCUAUCUAUCUAUCCCAUCAAUCUAUCAAUCAAUCUAUCAAUCUGUCUAUCCCUAUCUAUCUAUCCAUCUAUCUAUCUAUAUCUGUCUAUAUCUAUCUAACAUUUAUCUAUCAUCUAUUCAUCUAUCAGCUAUCUUCUGUCUAUCAAUAUUUCAAUCAAUCUCUCUAUCCCUAUCAAUUAAUCUAUCUACCUACCUAUCAACUAUCCAUCUAUCUCUAUCAUCUAUCAUCUAUUCAUCUAUCAUUUAUCAUCUGUCAAUCCAUCUUCCUACUAUCUAUCAAAAGCAACACAUUUUCUUCCUGACUUUAAAAAUAUUUAAGUGGGCCGGGAGGAUGGCUCACGCCUGUAAUCCCAGCACUUUGGGAGGCCUAGGCGGGCGGAUCACGAGGUCAGGAGAUGGAGACCAUCCUGGCUAACAUGGUGAAACCCCGUCUCUACUAAAAAUACAAAAAAAAAAAAAAAUUAACCAGGCGUGGUGGAGGGCGCCUGUAGUCCCAGCUACUCGGGAGACUGAGGCAGGAGAAUGGGGAGAACCCGGGAGGCGGAGCUUGCAGUGAGCCGAGAUCAUGCCACUGCACUCCAGCCUGGGCGACAGAGCAAGACUCCAUCUCAAAAGAAACAAAAACAAAAACGUAAGUGAUACUCUGUCCACUCUUUUGAUUGAGGAGGUCUGAUUUUCAGGCUUUGGAUUUUAUUAUGUCUUCAAUAUAAUAAUUGUUCCAUGUAUCUCUCCUAAAUUGCCAUUUGAAAAACUGCUUUUCUGAAGUUUAAAGUGCACAUUUUGAUACAUCUUGACACAUAUAUACACCCAUGAAAUCAUCACCACAAUCAGGAUAGUAGAUCUAUCCAUUACCGCCAAGGUUUACUUGCACUCCUUUGAACUUUCUCCCCACUCCUCACCCCCUGCCUAUCCCCAAUCCUUAAGCAAUCACUGAUUUGCUUUCUGUCACUAUCAGUUAAUUUGAAUUUUUCAGAAAUGUAUAUAAAUAAAAUCAUUCGACGUGUAUGCUCUUUUUCUGUUCACCCGGUACAAUUUGAGAUUUAGCCAUGUUUUUGCAUGUGUCAAUAGUUUAUUUUUUUGUUGCUCAGUACUAAUCCAUUUUAUGGAUACAGAGAAAUGUAUUAAUGCAAUCCCAUAUUAAUAGGCAUUUGGGUUGUUUCCAGGUUUGGGCUGUUACAAAUAAAGCUGCUAUGAA